GAUGAACGCUGGCGGCGUGCCUAAUACAUGCAAGUCGAGCGAACAGACGAGGAGCUUGCUCCUCUGACGUUAGCGGCGGACGGGUGAGUAACACGUGGAUAACCUACCUAUAAGACUGGGAUAACUUCGGGAAACCGGAGCUAAUACCGGAUAAUAUAUUGAACCGCAUGGUUCAAUAGUGAAAGACGGUUUUGCUGUCACUUAUAGAUGGAUCCGCGCCGCAUUAGCUAGUUGGUAAGGUAACGGCUUACCAAGGCAACGAUGCGUAGCCGACCUGAGAGGGUGAUCGGCCACACUGGAACUGAGACACGGUCCAGACUCCUACGGGAGGCAGCAGUAGGGAAUCUUCCGCAAUGGGCGAGAGCCUGGCGGAGCAACGCCGCGUGAGUGAUGAAGGUCUUCGGAUCGUAAAACUCUGUUAUUAGGGAAGAACAAAUGUGUAAGUAACUAUGCACGUCUUGACGGUACCUAAUCAGAAAGCCACGGCUAACUACGUG
rnacentral:rRNA from 1 species